rnacentral:rRNA from 1 species
UACGAAGGGGGCUAGCGUUGCUCGGAAUCACUGGGCGUAAAGCGCACGUAGGCGGGUUCUUAAGUCAGGGGUGAAAUCCUGGAGCUCAACUCCAGAACUGCCUUUGAUACUGGGAAUCUCGAGUCCGGGAGAGGUGAGUGGAACUGCGAGUGUAGAGGUGAAAUUCGUAGAUAUUCGCAAGAACACCAGUGGCGAAGGCGGCUCACUGGCCCGGUACUGACGCUGAGGUGCGAAAGCUAGGGGAGCAAACGGG